AUUGAUCAACCCAAUAUAUUUCCGUAGUGAGUCAGUAACUAACCUAAUAAGUGUUUUGUUUUCCCGAGGACUAUCAAGCGACAUAUUUAUUCACAAAUACGUAAAGCUAUGUAUACUGGUAUACAAGAUGCCUAACAUCUCGUCCAAUUUAACUCAUUUAAACUCUUCAAAAUUUUCAAUCUCACCUUUCAAAUAUUCUUUAAAAAUCCUUGCUUCACCCAUGUUUACUUACAAUGUUUUGUUGCUAUUCAGUUUUAAAUGUUUUCUACCUUUCCUCUGCAGAGAUUUGAGCAAAUUUCGGCGCUGCCAUUUUGUUCUGCUCCAGACAAAACAAUGUGACGUCAAUAUUCUAAGGGCAACUACUCUAAUUUUAAAGAAUUUCAAAGGGCAACUACUCCAAAUACUUUAAGAACUUACGGCAUGCGGUUUAUGUAUUAAAUACUAUGAAAUGUCGAAAUGAGUAAGCGAAGCGUCGACCAAUGACGGCCAUAUUGCCUAAUAUUAUUUCUCACAGAACAAAUAUAGAGAUAUAUGAGGCAAUCACGUGCUACGUUUAAACCAAUGAAAAUGUGACAUUUCAGUCCAAGGGAAAACAAAUAUGCAUAAACAUACAUAUUUAAAUGUACGCAUGCAAUUUGUUGUGAAGAUGUAUUUGCCUACAUUGCCAGUAGAAAACUUUUAUUUAAUAAUACCAGCUAGUCCUCAUGCAGAGAGUGCAGUAAAGAAAUGUCUUUAUUACUCAGAUUCGUAUAUCAAUAAAAAAAUAUAUACAGUU
rnacentral:sRNA from 1 species